UUCAACGUGUUAUUAGUUGCUUGUAAUUUUGUGUUAUAUUCGUUCUAAGUUACAUCUGAAGAUUUUGGAUUUCAGUGUCCUUUUAUCUUCUUCUUUUUCAAAUUUUUUUUUUACGCUUAUUGUCCUUGUUUUGUUGUUGGUAACCUCAAGAUUUACUCUUCAAAUAUGUUUUCUUACCGUUAAAGUGUUGAAAGUUCAAAAAAAAAAUUUGGUCUUCUAUAUUUGAGCUAAAAAUUUAGGUUUUGAAGGUUUUUCUUUUAUUUUUGUUGAAGAUUUACAAUUCUAAUUUGUUAUUUGGUUAGUUAUUAGUUGACGAUGAAUAGUAAGUGUUCGAAUGUGUUAUUUUGUUCUCUAUGAACUGUGUUGUUUUCAUUUGAAGUUAAAGCUGAAGGUUUAGGAUUUUAAUGUCUUUUUGCCUUUAUUUUUUACACUUAUUGUCUUUGCUAAUUUUGUUGUUGGUGACCUCAAGAUUUAGUCUUGAAAGACAUUUUCUUGUUGUUGAAGUGUUGGUAGUUCGAAAAUGCUUUUUAAUCUUCUAUAUUUGAGCUGGAAAUUAGGCUUUGAAGGUUUUUUUCUCCAUUUUUUGGUUGAAAAUUUACAGUUUCAAUCUAUUAUUUGUUUUUUUAUUAGUUGAUGAUGAAGAAUGUGUUAUUUUUUUCUCUAUGACUUGUAUUAUUUUUGUUUGAAGUUAAAGCUAAAUAUUUAGGAUUUUUAUGUCCUCGUGGUUUCAUUUCUUGCACUUAUUGUGUUUGAUCUCUCGUAUUCAUUCAUUUCUUGAUCGCCUAAAAAUUCUUGUAUUUAUGCUAAUUUCUUUGUCGUCCAAGUGCAUUUUACCUAUAGAAACAUACAUGCAACUCAUUGUCUUGGUAUUCAUUUUCUAUAGUCGAAAAAUUUCAUGUCAUCUCAUGAUUUCUAUGUCCAAAGUGUCCACAAGUGCAUCUUUUCGUCUUCUAUUUUAUACUUAAGUUCAAGAUUUACCCUUUAAACCUGUUGUUUUUAUGUGAGGCUGAGAAUUAUUCUUUGAAGGUAGUUGAGACAGAAAGAUUAAUUGGUAAGUACGACAAAAGUGAAGAAUCUUGAAUACUUUAUCCAAAGGUAAGUAAAUUUUAAAUUCAAUUAGAAAUCUGAAUAUUUUUUGGGGGAAUUUACCAAAAUGUCACUUUUUUUGAAAAUGCACAAAAAAUUUUGAUGUGCACACAAUUUGUACAAAAAUGUCAUUUUCUUCUUGUCAAAUGUCUAAA
rnacentral:lncRNA from 1 species